GGGGGCGGGGAGGAGAGUGUAAAAGGUGAGAGUUCUCGCCCCCCACCCUCCCCCAUCGGUCAAGGUUCAUUAUUCUUCGCAGUUUCUUUUCCAAAGCACUUAGGUGGAGGGGCGAGGGGAGGGAGCCCUUUGCUCUGGGCCUGCGGUCGUGGCUCCGCAGCGCGCGGGCAGGGGUCCCCCGAGCCCAAGCGGGGAGAGGUCUGCAGGAGCGGUCCUCCUCGCCCCCCACUCCUUUUUCUUUUCCCAGUUUGGUUUAUUGUGCCCGGAUGGGGUUCCUCUUAUGGAGGAUGCUGAAGCGAGGCGCUGCCUCUUUAGAGUUCCAAGGAGGAAAUGUCCACUUGGAUUACCGACACCACGAAAGGCCCAGCUCUCUGAGGACACGGACCGAGCCGACUCCGCCCUCCAGCCUGGGUAGGUUGUUUCUGAGAGAGAGACUCGGCCUCUGGGGACGGGAUCGCCGGGAUCCGGGAAGUCUGUGGGCGGGAAGAUGCAGACGCCAAAGGAGGAGCCUGAGGAAGCACCUGCGCGGCCCGGGUCUCACGCCCUCUCCCUCUCGCUCUCCCGUGCCCUAGCAUCUCACGGAGCUGUCCCCGCGCCCUGCAGGUGUUCCUAGCUUUUGAACCGCAGAGCU
rnacentral:lncRNA from 1 species